rnacentral:rRNA from 1 species
UACACNUGCAAGUCGAACGGCAGCGGGGGAAAGCUUGCUUUCCUGCCGGCGAGUGGCGAACGGGUGAGUAAUACAUCGGAACGUGCCCUGUAGUGGGGGAUAACUAGUCGAAAGAUUAGCUAAUACCGCAUACGACUGAGGGUGAAAGUGGGGGACCGCAAGGCCUCAUGCUAUAGGAGCGGCCGAUGUCUGAUAGCUAGUUGGUGGGGUAAAGGCCCACCAAGGCGACGAUCAGUAGCUGGUCUGAGAGGACGAUCAGCCACACUGGGACUGAGACACGGCCCAGACUCCUACGGGAGGCAGCAGUGGGGAAUUUUGGACAAUGGGCGAAAGCCUGAUCCAGCAAUGCCGCGUGUGUGAAGAAGGCCUUCGGGUUGUAAAGCACUUUUGUCCGGAAAGAAAUGGCUCUGGUUAAUACCUGGGGUCGAUGACGGUACCGGAAGAAUAAGGACCGGCUAACUACGUGCCAGCAGCCGCGGUAAUACGUAGGGUCCAAGCGUUAAUCGGAAUUACUGGGCGUAAAGCGUGCGCAGGCGGUUGUGCAAGACCGAUGUGAAAUCCCCGAGCUUAACUUGGGAAUUGCAUUGGUGACUGCACGGCUAGAGUGUGUCAGAGGGGGGUAGAAUUCCACGUGUAGCAGUGAAAUGCGUAGAGAUGUGGAGGAAUACCGAUGGCGAAGGCAGCCCCCUGGGAUAACACUGACGCUCAUGCACGAAAGCGUGGGGAGCAAACAGGAUUAGAUACCCUGGUAGUCCACGCCCUAAACGAUGUCAACUAGUUGUUGGGGAUUCAUUUCCUUAGUAACGUAGCUAACGCGUGAAGUUGACCGCCUGGGGAGUACGGUCGCAAGAUUAAAACUCAAAGGAAUUGACGGGGACCCGCACAAGCGGUGGAUGAUGUGGAUUAAUUCGAUGCAACGCGAAAAACCUUACCUACCCUUGACAUGCCACUAACGAAGCAGAGAUGCAUUAGGUGCUCGAAAGAGAAAGUGGACACAGGU